rnacentral:rRNA from 1 species
UUCCGGUUGAUCCUGCCGGACCCGACUGCUAUCAGAGUGGGACUAAGCCAUGCGAGUCAACAUAGCAAUAUGUGGCAUACGGCUCAGUAACACGUAGUCAACAUGCCCAGGGGACGUGGAUAACCUCGGGAAACUGAGGAUAAACCGCGAUAAGUCACUGCUUCUGGAAUGGGCAAUGACUCAAACCUACAUGGCCCCUGGAUUGGACUGCGGCCGAUCAGGCUGUUGGUGAGGUAAUGGCCCACCAAACCUGUAACCGGUACGGGCUCUGAGAGGAGGAGCCCGGAGAUGGGCACUGAGACAAGGGCCCAGGCCCUAUGGGGCGCAGCAGGCGCGAAACCUCUGCAAUAGGCGAAAGCCUGACAGGGUUACUCUGAGUGAUUUCCGUUAAGGAGAUCUUUUGGCACCUCUAAAAAUGGUGCAGAAUAAGGGGUGGGCAAGUCUGGUGUCAGCCGCCGCGGUAAUACCAGCACCCCGAGUGGUCGGGACGUUUAUUGGGCCUAAAGCAUCCGUAGCCGGUUCUGCAAGUCUUCCGUUAAACCCACCUGCUUAACAGAUGGGCCGCGGAAGAUACUAUGGAGCUAGGAGGCGGGAGAGGCAAGCGGUACUCGAUGGGUAGGGGUAAAAUCCGUUGAUCCAUUGAAGACCACCAGUGGCGAAGGCGGCUUGCCAGAACGCGCUCGACGGUGAGGGAUGAAAGCUGGGGGAGCAAACCGGAUUAGAUACCCGGGUAGUCCCAG